AGGGUUUGAUCCUGGCUCAGGACGAACGCUGGCGGCGUGCUUAACACAUGCGAGUCGACGAGAAAGGGGUAGCAAUAUCCCGAGUAAAGUGGCGCACGGGUGAGUAACACGUAAGUAAUCUACCUUUAGGUUCGGAAUAACUCCGAGAAAUCGGGGCUAAUACCGGAUGAUGCAGCGGAUCCACAUGGAUAUGUUGUUAAAGUCUAUACGACGCCUAAAGAUGAGCUUGCGGCCGAUUAGCUAGUUGGUAGGGUAACGGCCUACCAAGGCAACGAUCGGUAGCUGGUCUGAGAGGAUGAUCAGCCACACUGGAACUGAGACACGGUCCAGACUCCUACGGGAGGCAGCAGUGAGGAAUAUUGGGCAAUGCCCGAAAGGGUGACCCAGCAACGCCGCGUGGAGGAUGAAGGUCGUAAGAUUGUAAACUCCUGUUAGAGGGGACGAAUAUCACCGAUCGACUCGGUGUUUGACUGUACCCUCAGAGAAAGCCCCGGCUAACUACGUGCCAGCAGCCGCGGUAAUACGUAGGGGGCAAGCGUUGUCCGGAUUCACUGGGUGUAAAGGGCGCGCAGGCGGGUUAACAAGUCAGAGGUGCAAUCCUACAGCUUAACUGUAGAACUGCCUUUGAAACUGUUAAUCUUGAGUGCGGAAGAGAGAGACGGAAUUCCAGGUGUAGCGGUGAAAUGCGUAGAUAUCUGGAAGAACACCAGUUGCGAAGGCGGUCUCUUGGUCCGUUACUGACGCUCAGGCGCGAAAGCGUGGGGGAGCAAACAGGAUUAGAUACCCCGGUAGUCCACGCCCUAAACGAUGAAUACUAGGUGUUGGUGCUUUUGCAUCAGUGCCGCAGCUAACGCAUUAAGUAUUCCACCUGGGGAGUACGAUCGCAAGGUUGAAACUCAAAGGAAUUGACGGGGGCCCGCACAAGCAGUG
rnacentral:rRNA from 1 species